GUCGAGGGGCAUCAUGAAGUAGCAAUACUUUGAUGGCGACCGGCGCACGGGUGAGUAACGCGUAUGCAACCUGCCCUUUACAGGGGGAUAGCCCAUGGAAACGUGGAUUAAUACCCCAUAGUACCAAUGAAAGGCAUCUUUUAUAGGUAAAAUCUGCGGAGGUAAAGGAUGGGCAUGCGUCCUAUUAGUUAGUUGGCGGGGUAACGGCCCACCAAGGCGAUGAUAGGUAGGGGUUCUGAGAGGAAGGUCCCCCACAUUGGUACUGAGACACGGACCAAACUCCUACGGGAGGCAGCAGUGAGGAAUAUUGGUCAAUGGACGCAAGUCUGAACCAGCCAUGCCGCGUGCAGGAAGACGGCUCUAUGAGUUGUAAACUGCUUUUGUACGAGGGUAAAUGCAGGUACGUGUAUCUGUUUGAAAGUAUCGUACGAAUAAGGAUCGGCUAACUCCGUGCCAGCAGCCGCGGUAAUACGGAGGAUCCAAGCGUUAUCCGGAUUUAUUGGGUUUAAAGGGUGCGUAGGCGGUUUUAUAAGUUAGAGGUGAAAUGUCGGGGCUCAACCCCGAAACUGCCUCUAAUACUGUUGGACUAGAGAAUAGUUGCGGUAGGCGGAAUGUAUGGUGUAGCGGUGAAAUGCUUAGAGAUCAUACAGAACACCGAUUGCGAAGGCAGCUUACCAAACUAUAUCUGACGUUGAGGCACGAAAGCGUGGGUAGCAAACAGGAUUAGAUACCCUGGUAGUCCACGCAGUAAACGAUGAUAACUCGUUGUCGGCGAUACAGUGUCGGUGACUAAGCGAAAGCGAUAAG
rnacentral:rRNA from 1 species